UCAGGCAUGAGUGAGGCGAACACAUCGUGCGUUGGAGGAAGAGUUGCAGUGACGACUUGGACCACAGGCCAGAAGCCUGAAAUAGAUUCUUUGAGAAUCUUAAAAGUCAAACAACUGGGCCUUGCGGGGAAGACUGAUGACGUGAGAAAAAAAGGAAAAAGCUGAUGAGCAGACGUGAGCGGUGGUGCUGGUGGCGCAGGAUGUCCUGGAG